ensembl:lncRNA
CUGCCCAUGUGAGGAGAUCUCCAUCAGUGUGCUGGGCUCCCACGCUGAGGACACUGCCACGGUCUGCAGGCUGCGAUGGGGAGGUUGGGUCUGUCUGAAAGGGAUCAAUCCAGGGGUGACAUGACCAUGAGAAAAUGAAUUUAAAGAAGUGCUGGGACAAGGGAAAGGAGGAUUCUGAAAAAAAGAUACAGGGAUGUUGAAUGCUGCCUGCUGAGUUCCCCUACCCUGAGCUCUGCUUCCCCCUUGCCUUGUGUGACUCUCAGAGUGAAACAGCCUCUCUGCAGCACUGCACGGUGACUCAACCAUCAUCUUUUUUUGCCUUCAGAUAUGAUGAAAAUAUCUUUCUUGUUGCAAAAAGCAGAGACUCAAAGUGAAGUCCUGGAAGCAUUUUAUGAUGUGAAGAACCUCUGUAGGGAGAAAAAAAUUACACGUGGUGCAUCUGUAUGAACUGAUGACGAUGUUCUCUUGCCUUUUCCCAGUGGCCUGUGGGCAGCUGAACAAGGAAAUGUGGAAGACCCAGCAUCUUCUCUUUUCAGAGUACAAUGUAUUAAUGGCACAUUUAAAUAUCCACGGUGCAAUCCAGAAAGGGGCUGCACAGUGCUUGGGUCAGAAAUGGAUAAGAACAACAUUCAACUACAAUGGAGAAAGCCUUGCACGUAUCGCUCUAAGGAACAGAUUUCCUUUACAUGCAAGUGGCUUCACGGGGCAGUUUCAAGACCAGAGAAAUUUAACCCACAGUGUCUGGAUGGAGAAAGUGAGUACCCUCAAUGCACAGGUAAGUGGGAGGGCACAGGAGGCUGUAAAAGAACAGUGGGCAACAGCCAAGAAGGAUUGUAAGAGGGAUUCGUAG